rnacentral:rRNA from 1 species
UCGUGUCGUGAGAUGUUGGGUUAAGUCCCGCAACGAGCGCACCCACUUGCCAGUUGCUAACAGGAGAGCUGAGCACUCUGGCGAGACUGCCGCCGACAAGGCGGAGGAAGGUGGGGAUGACGUCAAGUCAUCAUGGCCUUUAUGCCCAGGGCUACACACGUGCUACAAUGGCCGGCACAGACGGCAGCUUAGUGGCGACACUUGGCAAAUCCUCUAAAGCCGGUCCCAGUUCGGAUUGCAGUCUGCAACUCGACUGCAUGAAGCCGGAAUCGCUAGUAAUCGCAGAUCAGCCAAGCUGCGGUGAAUACGUUCCCGGGCCUU